UUUUCGCAGGAUGUUGGCUCUCCGCAGAUCUCG
rnacentral:tRNA from 1 species